CGAACGCUGGCGGCGUGCUUACCACAUGCAAGUCGUACGGUAAGGCCCUUUCGGGGGUACACGAGUGGCGAACGGGUGAGUAACACGUGAGUAACCUGCCCACAACUUUGGGAUAACGCUAGGAAACUGGUGCUAAUACUGGAUAUGUGCUCCUGCUGCAUGGUGGGGGUUGGAAAGCUCCGGCGGUUGUGGAUGGACUCGCGGCCUAUCAGCUUGUUGGUGGGGUAGUGGCCUACCAAGGCGGCGACGGGUAGCCGGCCUGAGAGGGUGACCGGCCACAUUGGGACUGAGAUACGGCCCAGACUCCUACGGGAGGCAGCAGUGGGGAAUAUUGCACAAUGGGCGCAAGCCUGAUGCAGCAACGCCGCGUGCGGGAUGACGGCCUUCGGGUUGUAAACCGCUUUCAGCAGGGACGAAGCUUUUUGUGACGGUACCUGCAGAAGAAGCACCGGCUAACUACGUG
rnacentral:rRNA from 1 species